CCCCAAAAAAGGUGCGAGCAUGUCCCUUUUAAACUUUGAUUUUUUCAUCUCUUUGUUCUACUGUUAUCCUGUUGGUUUUGGAGUAUAUGAUCUCAUUUUAUUUGUGGUUGUUGUUGUUUCCAGUUGCCUUCUUGGAUGAAAAAAAAAAUAUUUUUUUAAAUUUUAUGAACUUGUCUCAUGGUCGAUCAUGUAUAUUAGCAAGUGAAUGUCUGAUCCAUUUUGGUUUCAAAUCGGUUGUCGUGGUUUGUUUAUCAAGUUUUGUGAAUACGAUUUCGUUUAAGGCCUAUAUUGAUCCAAUACGUAUGGCUGAUUCGUUAUUCAUUCUAAAAUAUAAAUUUGUGAAAUAAAGGAAAAGUGUGUCUUCUCACUCUAUUCCACUUUUAGUAAACUUUUGUGCUUUUUGUUACUGUCACGAAUUUAAUUUUAAGAGGGAUGCGUGAAAUCGUCCCGUUUAAUCUCAUACGAUUAUUGUGAGUGGUUCUUCUUUGUGUGUAAGUACGCUACAUAUGUAGUUAUGGCUUUAAUUCAUUAUCCAGAUGACAUAGAACUCAAGGGGAUGUUUGAAUUUCCUUUUAACAUCGAUAUGUUCGUUUAAAAUGUAAAGAAUGUGCAUUUGUCUUGAGUGACUAGAUUUGAUUUGUAAGAAUGUGGGUGCCCAUGUCUUGAAUUGACAGUGCUUUUCAACAUUUGGGCCAGAUUGAAUACUUCACGAGUAACCUUCGUGUGGAGUCCUUUUUUAAAAAAGGUUUCACUCUUUCUAUGUAUUUUAUUACUAGGAUUCUAGUGAUGUAUUUUCUUUUCUCUCGAAUUAUAUCAAAGUCACCAGAAAAUGUGGUAGUUUACUUAUCUAUUAUGGAUAUAAAAUAGUUGUUAAGUUGCAUGUAUUAUGUCUCGUGAAAUAUUUGUGGAGAUGGAAAGGGUUUUUUUCUACUUAAGGGUAACCUAAUUAAAUCAUAUUGCAUGAUAAUGUGGUGGAUCAUCAAUUUAAUCAUUUUUAUUGGUAUUGAUGUUUCAAUUACUCACUAGCAGAAUUUGUUUGACUUUGAAUUGUUCUAAUUUGAGGUUGUAUUGAGUGCUUGAAUCUUCUGCACUUUUGAUGUGGGGUUAUCCUCAGUAAUAUUCAUGACCCAUAUUGCAUUAUUUCGUUCCAUUAGAACUUCAUCUAGUAGUACUUAGUUUCCUUAUGUGUUGUCCAACUCAUUCGGUCGCACGUUUUAUUUUGUUGUCCAUAUUACUUUACUCGAGUUUUGUUUCUAAUAUUUAUCUCUCUUUCUUUUUCAUGUAAACUUGAGAGUUGGAGUUUCACAACGAAACUCACUUUUUAAUCCAAGCAUCGGGUCAAUUGCUACUAGGAUUACGAGAGCCUAGAAGUCCCGCAAAUUAGGAGCCUAAGCUCCUAACCCGAAUUUAUUAUCCUUUAUUACCUCUCGAUUUAAUUUAUAUUUCUAUGUUGAAUUUUAUUUUUAAUUACUAAUUCUUGUUUGUUAAGUUUAUUUAAUUAUCGAAUUUGUGUUACUUUGUUAUUCAUUGGUCCUCUUAGAAGUAGCUUUAGCGUAUGGGUUUUCGCAAAUCACAUGAUUGUUGUAGUAAUAUAUAUCUUAGCAUACUUGGGUAACUCUUUUGAAAAACUCAUUGCCAAUACGUUUAAAUAAAAUGACAUAGUAACCUCCACAUUUCGUUUGAAGUACAACAACAAAAGAUAAAAAUUUCAAAAUUAAUCCAAUAGAAAAACACAAUACUAAUUUACGAUUUUUUUUAAAAAAGGGGGUCCUCCUACCCAUUUUAACUUAUUUUUUUCUAAUAAAUAAUUCUAGUGUUUUGCACUAUAUUUUCUUCUUUUCCAUUAUUCAAGUUUUCAGGACAGAAAUGUGAGGUAUAUGUAUUCAUCCGCUACCACGUAUAAG
rnacentral:lncRNA from 1 species